CUACGGGUCGCAGCAGUGGGGAAUAUUGCACAAUGGGCGCAAGCCUGAUGCAGCCAUGCCGCGUGUAUGAAGAAGGCCUUCGGGUUGUAAAGUACUUUCAGCGGGGAGGAAGGGAGUAAAGUUAAUACCUUUGCUCAUUGACGUUACCCGCAGAAGAAGCACCGGCUAACUCCGUGCCAGCAGCCGUGGUAAUACGGAGGGUGCAAGCGUUAAUCGGAAUUACUGGGCGUAAAGCGCACGCAGGCGGUUUGUUAAGUCAGAUGUGAAAUCCCCGGGCUCAACCUGGGAACUGCAUCUGAUACUGGCAAGCUAGAGUCUCGUAGAGGGGGGUAGAAUUCCAGGUGUAGCGGUGAAAUGCGUAGAGAUCUGGAGGAAUACCGGUGGCGAAGGCGGCCCCCUGGACGAAGACUGACGCUCAGGUGCGAAAGCGUGGGGAGCAAACAGGAUUAGAUACCCUUGUAGUC
rnacentral:rRNA from 1 species